rnacentral:rRNA from 1 species
ACGAACGCUGGCGGCGUGCUUAACACAUGCAAGUCGAACGGAAAGGCCCUGCUUUUGUGGGGUGCUCGAGUGGCGAACGGGUGAGUAACACGUGAGUAACCUGCCCUUGACUUUGGGAUAACUUCAGGAAACUGGGGCUAAUACCGGAUAGGAGCUCCUGCUGCAUGGUGGGGGUUGGAAAGUUUCGGCGGUUGGGGAUGGACUCGCGGCUUAUCAGCUUGUUGGUGGGGUAGUGGCUUACCAAGGCUUUGACGGGUAGCCGGCCUGAGAGGGUGACCGGCCACAUUGGGACUGAGAUACGGCCCAGACUCCUACGGGAGGCAGCAGUGGGGAAUAUGGCACAAUGGGCGGAAGCCUGAUGCAGCAACGCCGCGUGCGGGAUGACGGCAUUCGGGUUGUAAACCGCUUUCGCCUGUGACGAAGCGUGAGUGACGGUAAUGGGUAAAGAAGCACCGGCUAACUACGU